AGCUGGAAUAACUCAUUUGUGUUGCAGGUAUCAGUUGCUCUGGGGCUCAAUGCUUUCCUCCUACAUCCCCUCAUAACACACUACACGCUCCAGCUUGUUCUGGACUCAGGACUCGACGUGUGUGGUCUGCGGCUCCUUUAUCCACCACAGAGGUUCCUGAGUGACAGAGCUGGUAGGACAUAACUAACUGGUCAUAAAGUAUUUAAUAACUCUUCUUCUGGCUCAUUGGUCUGGUGGGCCUCCUGGAUCCAACUGUGGCCUCAGGCCUUUGUCAGUGUCUUCAUUGAGUCUUUAAAAAGUCUCCCUCUGAUUCAUAGAUGCUGUACCGGUUCUCCAGAGAACUGAUGAGACCUGCCAGCCUGUUCUUGCCCUUGCUGUUCGCGGCCUUCAUGCCCACAAAGUGUUGGAAGAUUUAACUAGUUCCUUAGAUCUGCUGCUCAGAAAGGCAGAUCUCAACCCUCUCCACUGCAGAGGUCAAGAGUCUCCACUCUUCUACUCCCCCCGACUGGCCGGUGGGGUCCACAGGGAGCUGUGUUUGUGGUUUUCAGGAAGACUUCGAGGAGGAAGUGCACAGAAUCACAACCGGUCUCUGAAGAGGUUUGUUGUCAAAGCAUCAUUAAGUCUACUUCAUUGAACUUUUUUAAAGCUGGGCUGUCAAGAAGAUACAUUUCACUCAUACAACUGGGAAUUGAAAAUAUACAGUGCAACUAAUUAAAUUGACUCAUUUAAGUAUUAGACUGUUGCAGACAGAUGUUAGAGCAUUAGGACGUUCUGUAACUCAAAUCCCUUAAAGCCAAGAGGAUUUACUAAGUACAUACUAAAACAUAUUACCUUUAUUACUGUGACACAGUUUUAUUUUCACUUUUGUUUGUAGAGCUGUGCCUUCAGAUGACACACUCAGCGGCAGCCUGUUCAAUACAAGCCGAUCACCUUCCUUUCUGUGCGCUACAACGAAAGGUACCGUCUCUCAACGAGGAGCCGAAACUGUCUUCUGUCACAUUUCAUAUUCAAUGUUCUUCUUUACGUUCCCCCCCCCCCCCCCCCCCCCCGCACAGCUGACUUACUCCUCGUGGUGUCGCCUGCCGUGCCUCCAUGUUUCUACGGCCAAGUGCUGACUGUUUGUGAACGCAGAGGCUUCAGUGUGAGGGGGCUGCAGAGGCUGCGGCUGCAGAGCGAUGGAGCUGCUGUCCUUGGCCUCUCCAACCUGCAGGCACCUGUAUUCUGCAGUUCACAUACUCUGACCCCGGGUCAGGGUCAGCUGGAGCUGCCCUCCCACUGUCUGGUGUUGUUACUGAGGAAAGAAAAUGCAGUGCACCACAGUGUUAGUCUGUCAGCAGGUCUGAAUUACAUCUCAAAUGAUAUCUACGGCGUAAUAAUCACCAUAAAUCAUAUUUAAAAGUAAAUAUAAUGUGGAAGGUCUGCAUUACAGUGAAAUAACCUUGCAGUUGCUUUAUUGUUUCAGCCCUAAUGAGAGAACUUAAGGCAGAAAAGCUUCUGGGUUGCCUCCCCCCCAGACCUGACGGUGUUC
rnacentral:lncRNA from 1 species